GUCCGGAGCAGUUCCAGUCGCUGGCCCCCCAUCAGCACGUAGAGCCAGUUCUCUGCUGGUCUAAUUCUAUAGGAGAACUGUUACCUAUAGACCCUGAGAUUGAAAGGAUUUUCAGAAGAAG